rnacentral:rRNA from 1 species
UAAAACGUAGGGGGCAAGCGUUAUCCGGAAUUACUGGGCGUAAAGGGCGUCUAGGCGGCCUGCUAAGUCUUGUGUGAAAGCUCCCGGCUCAACUGGGAGAGCGCGUAAGAUACUGACAGGCUAGAGACUCGGAGAGGGGUGUGGAAUUCCCGGUGGAGUGGUGAAAUGCGUUGAGAUCGGGAGGAACACCAGUGGCGAAAGCGGCACCCUGGCCGAGUUCUGACGCUGAAGCGCGAAAGCGCGGGGAGCGAACGGGAUUAGAUACCCCGGUAGUCCGCGCCGUAAACGAUGACAACUAGGUGUCGGGAGCCUUACCGGCUUUCGGUACCGCAGCCAACGCGUUAAGUUGUCCGCCUGGGGAGUACGGCCGCAAGGCUA